UGGGGAAUAUUGGACAAUGGGCGAAAGCCUGAUCCAGCCAUGCCGCGUGGAUGAUGACGGCCCUAGGGUUGUAAAGUCCUCUCGACGGGGAAGAUAAUGACGGUACCCGUAGAAGAAGCCCCGGCUAACUUCGUGCCAGCAGCCGCGGUAAUACGAAGGGGGCUAGCGUUGCUCGGAAUCACUGGGCGUAAAGCGCACGUAGGCGGCUGUUUAAGUCAGGGGUGAAAUCCUGGAGCUCAACUCCAGAACUGCCUUUGAUACUGGAGAGCUUGAGUUCGGGAGAGGUGAGUGGAACUGCGAGUGUAGAGGUGAAAUUCGUAGAUAUUCGCAAGAACACCAGUGGCGAAGGCGGCUCACUGGCCCGAUACUGACGCUGAGGUGCGAAAGCGUGGGGAGCAAAC
rnacentral:rRNA from 1 species